rnacentral:rRNA from 1 species
GACGAACGCUGGCGGCGUGCCUAAUACAUGCAAGUCGAACGAACUCUGGUAUUGAUUGGUGCUUGCAUCAUGAUUUACAUUUGAGUGAGUGGCGAACUGGUGAGUAACACGUGGGAAACCUGCCCAGAAGCGGGGGAUAACACCUGGAAACAGAUGCUAAUACCGCAUAACAACUUGGACCGCAUGGCCCGAGCUUGAAAGAUGGCUUCGGCUAUCACUUUUGGAUGGUCCCACGGCGUAUUAGCUAGAUGGUGGGGUAAUGGCUCACCAUGGCAAUGAUACGUAGCCGACCUGAGAGGGUAGUCGGCCACAUUGGGACUCAGACACGGCCCAAACUCCUAAGGGAGGCAGCAGUAGGGAAUCUUCCACAAUGGACGAAAGUCUGAUGGAGCAACGCCGCGUGGGUGAAGAAGGGUUUCGGCUCGUAAAACUCUGUUGUUAAAGAAGAACGUAUCUGAGAGUAACUGUUCAGAUAUUGACGGUAUUUAACCAGAAAGCCACGGCUAACUACGUGCCAGCAGCCGCCGUAA